rnacentral:rRNA from 1 species
UACGAAGGGGGCUAGCGUUGCUCGGAAUUACUGGGCGUAAAGGGCGCGUAGGCGGACAUUUAAGUCAGGGGUGAAAUCCCAGAGCUCAACUCUGGAACUGCCUUUGAUACUGGGUGUCUUGAGUGUGAGAGAGGUAUGUGGAAUUCCGAGUGUAGAGGUGAAAUUCGUAGAUAUUCGGAAGAACACCAGUGGCGAAGGCGGCUCACUGGCCCGUUACCGACGCUCAGGCGCGACAGCGUGGGGAGCAAACAGG